AGUGAACGCUGGCGGUAGGCCUAACACAUGCAAGUCGAACGGCAGCACAGUAAGAGCUUGCUCUUACGGGUGGCGAGUGGCGGACGGGUGAGGAAUACAUCGGAAUCUACUUUUUCGUGGGGGAUAACGUAGGGAAACUUACGCUAAUACCGCAUACGACCUACGGGUGAAAGCAGAGGAUCUUCGGACCUUGCGCGAUUGAAUGAGCCGAUGUCGGAUUAGCUAGUUGGCGGGGUAAAGGCCCACCAAGGCGACGAUCCGUAGCUGGUCUGAGAGGAUGAUCAGCCACACUGGAACUGAGACACGGUCCAGACUCCUACGGGAGGCAGCAGUGGGGAAUAUUGGACAAUGGGCGCAAGCCUGAUCCAGCCAUACCGCGUGGGUGAAGAAGGCCUUCGGGUUGUAAAGCCCUUUUGCUGGGAAAGAAAAGCAGCAGGUUAAUACCCCGCUGUUCUGACGGUACCCAAAGAAUAAGCACCGGCUAACUUCGUG
rnacentral:rRNA from 1 species